rnacentral:rRNA from 1 species
GAUGAACGCUAGCGGGAGGCCUAACACAUGCAAGCCGAGCGGUAGAGUCUCUUCGGAGACUUGAGAGCGGCGCCCGGGUGCGGAAAACGGUGGCAACCUUCCUUUAUCGGUGGGACAGCCUUGCGAAAGUAAGAUUAAUACCCCAUAAUAUACUGGAGGACUUCAGCUGGUAUUGAAAAAUCCUGUGGAUAGAGGUGGGCACGCGCAAGAUUAGAUAGUUGGUGAGGUAACGGCUCACCAAGUCAGCGAUCUCUAGGGGGCCUGAGAGGGUGAUCCCCCACACUGGUACUGAGGCACAGACCAGAAUCGUACGGGAGGCAGCAGUGAGGAAUAUUGGACAAUGGGUGAGAGCCUGAUCCAGCCGUCCCGCGUGAAGGAGCACGGCCCUAUGGGUUGUAAACUUUUUUUGAAUAGAGAUAAACCUAGAUACGUGUAUCUAGCUGACGGUACUCUAAGAAUAAGCACCGGCUAACUACGUG